rnacentral:rRNA from 1 species
CCAUGCAAGUCGAAGGAUGAAGCCCUUCGGGGUGGAUUAGUGGCGAACGGGUGAGUAACACGUGGGCAAUCUGCCCUUCACUCUGGGACAAGCCCUGGAAACGGGGUCUAAUACCGGAUAAUACCUGCCUGGGCAUCUGGGUGGGUUAAAAGCUCCGGCGGUGAAGGAUGAGCCCGCGGCCUAUCAGCUUGUUGGUGAGGUAGUGGCUCACCAAGGCGACGACGGGUAGCCGGCCUGAGAGGGCGACCGGCCACACUGGGACUGAGACACGGCCCAGACUCCUACGGGAGGCAGCAGUGGGGAAUAUUGCACAAUGGGCGAAAGCCUGAUGCAGCGACGCCGCGUGAGGGAUGACGGCCUUCGGGUUGUAAACCUCUUUCAGCAGGGAAGAAGCGAAAGUGACGGUACCUGCAGAAGAAGCGCCGGCUAACUACGUGCCAGCAGCCGCGGUAAUACGUAGGGCGCAAGCGUUGUCCGGAAUUAUUGGGCGUAAAGAGCUCGUAGGCGGCUUGUCACGUCGGUUGUGAAAGCCCGGGGCUUAACCCCGGGUCUGCAGUCGAUACGGGCAGGCUAGAGUGUGGUAGGGGAGAUCGGAAUUCCUGGUGUAGCGGUGAAAUGCGCAGAUAUCAGGAGGAACACCGGUGGCGAAGGCGGAUCUCUGGGCCAUUACUGACGCUGAGGAGCGAAAGCGUGGGGAGCGAACAGGAUUAGAUACCCUGGUAGUCCACGCCGUAAACGGUGGGAACUAGGUGUUGGCGACAUUCCACGUCGUCGGUGCCGCAGCUAACGCAUUAAGUUCCCCGCCUGGGGAGUACGGCCGCAAGGCUAAAACUCAAAGGAAUUGACGGGGGCCCGCACAAGCAGCGGAGCAUGUGGCUUAAUUCGACGCAACGCGAAGAACCUUACCAAGGCUUGACAUCGCCCGGAAAGCAUCAGAGAUGGUGCCCCCCUUGUGGUCGGGUGACAGGUGGUGCAUGGCUGUCGUCAGCUCGUGUCGUGAGAUGUUGGGUUAAGUCCCGCAACGAGCGCAACCCUUGUUCUGUGUUGCCAGCAUGCCCUUCGGGGUGAUGGGGACUCACAGGAGACUGCCGGGGUCAACUCGGAGGAAGGUGGGGACGACGUCAAGUCAUCAUGCCCCUUAUGUCUUGGGCUGCACACGUGCUACAAUGGCAGGUACAAUGAGCUGCGAUGCCGCGAGGCGGAGCGAAUCUCAAAAAGCCUGUCUCAGUUCGGAUUGGGGUCUGCAACUCGACCCCAUGAAGUCGGAGUUGCUAGUAAUCGCAGAUCAGCAUUGCUGCGGUGAAUACGUUCCCGGGCCUUGUACACACCGCCCGUCACGUCACGAAAGUCGGUAACACCCGAAGCCGGUGGCCCAACCCCCUUGUGGGGAGGGAGCUGUCGAAGGUGGGACUGGCGAUUGUGACGAAGUCGUAUCUU